rnacentral:rRNA from 1 species
AGUGAACGCUGGCGGUAGGCCUAACACAUGCAAGUCGAACGGCAGCACAGUAAGAGCUUGCUCUUACGGGAGGCGAGUGGCGGACGGGUGAGGAAUACAUCGGAAUCUACUUUUUCGUGGGGGAUAACGUAGGGAAACUUACGCUAAUACCGCAUACGACCUACGGGUGAAAGCAGGGGAUCUUCGGACCUUGCGCGAUUGAAUGAGCCGAUGUCGGAUUAGCUAGUUGGCGGGGUAAAGGCCCACCAAGGCGACGAUCCGUAGCUGGUCUGAGAGGAUGAUCAGCCACACUGGAACUGAGACACGGUCCAGACUCCGACGGGAGGCAGCAGUGGGGAAUAUUAGACGAUGGGCGCAAGCCUGAUCCAGCCAUACCGCGUGGGUGAAGAAGGCCUUCGGGUUGGAAAGCCCUUUUGUUGGGAAAGAAAAGCAGCAGGUUAAUACCCCGCUGUUCUGACGGUACCCAAAGAAUAAGCACCGGCUAACUUCGUG